UUGGUGAAGAACAUUAGUCAGAUAGACCUCUGCAUGGAUUUGCCUGAAAGUGACACACAAGACAUGCUUUGUCACAUUAAUCAGCUCGAUGAAAUCAGGAUGGACCCAAACUUCCAGAUGGUGUUCUUGUUCCAAGAAACUUACUGCUUACACUUCAUCAAUGAGUUCAACAAGCGACAGCCCAGGAUGCUAAAGUUUCUACAACACCUGGAGCAGUGUGCUGUUCAGCUAGAUAAAAUGAUAAAGGGAGCAAAGAUCUCUAGUGUAGCAGGCAGCUCAGUGGGGGCAGUUGGGAGUGUACUGUCCAUUGUUGGUUUGGCGUUAAUUCCUGUAACAGCAGGUGUGUCUCUAGCUUUAACAAUGACUGGGGUUGGGCUGGGAAUCACCAGUGGAAUCAACAGUGCUGUGACCACUGCAGCAGAGAUUGGAGUUAAACGCACACAGAAAAGCAAAGUCAAUGAUGUCCUCCCGAAGUUCAUGGAAGAUAUGCAAAGUUCAUAUUCAGGAUUGUUUGGCGAUCAGUCAUCCAGCUGCUGACAUAGAAAUGGGUUUUUAUAAAGAUAUGUUCAGCGGCUUUAAACAAGUUGGGUCAGUUGGACUGGGCAUUCGAUCACUGGUUAGAGAUGCUUCAGAUGUUAAAUUGAUAAAAUCUAAAAACCUGAUUACAGGUUGUGGUAAGAUGGUGGCCCAGGAAAGUAAAGCCCCCAAGAUGGCCUCAGAAAUCCCAGAAGUGGGUCAGGCAGCAUUCAAAGGGUCACUUGCUCUCUCAAAGACAGCCAGAGCAGGUCUCAUUGCACUCAAUGCUUUCUUUCUUGGAUUAGAUAUCAUUUUCAUCUGUAAAGACAGCAUCAGUCUGGCUAAAGGCAGCAAAACUAAGAUCUCAAAAGUGAUCAGAGCAAGAACUGCACUUUGGAGCUCAGAAAUAGACUCAUGGAAAAAGAUCUGUGACUCUCUGAAUGAAGGUCUGAAGACAUCAAAGAAAAAGAAAUCUGUCCUGAAGGCACGAUUCUAUCCAAUAUGGAGAUAAAAGCAAGGACAAUCACAAGAGAACUGAAAAAACUAAACCAAAACAGUUUAA